rfam:Clostridium clostridioforme CAG:132 genomic scaffold, scf20
UAGCAAAGCUAAGCGCCAUGCACCUUUUACCGGGGACGUGAACAGCAGGAAGGUCUGCUGCCGGUGGAAAGGUUAACGAGGUGGAGAGAGAAUCGAGAAAUUCGGCGGGUGCUCUCCCAUGCUGUCCGGGCGUGUUACAUACUGGAAAAUAUGCGGGUAACUGCAAAACAAAGCCAGCGUGACCGGAUGAA